rnacentral:rRNA from 1 species
CGGUAACAUUUCUAGCUUGCUAGAAGAUGACGAGUGGCGGACGGGUGAGUAAUACUUAGGAAUAUGCCUUUGUGUGGGGGAUAACUAUUGGAAACGAUAGCUAAUACCGCAUAACGUCUUCGGACCAAAGGGGGCUCCGGCUCCCGCGCAAAGAGUAGCCUAAGCGAGAUUAGCUUGUUGGUGAGGUAAAGGCUCACCAAGGCGACGAUCUCUAGCUGUUCUGAGAGGAAGAUCAGCCACACUGGAACUGAGACACGGUCCAGACUCCUACGGGAGGCAGCAGUGGGGAAUAUUGCACAAUGGGGGAAACCCUGAUGCAGCCAUGCCGCGUGUGUGAAGAAGGCCUUCGGGUUGUAAAGCACUUUCAGUUGUGAGGAAAGGUUAACGGUUAAUACCCGUUAGCUGUGACGUUAGCAACAGAAGAAGGACCGGCUAACUCCGUGCCAGCAGCCGCGGUAAUACGGAGGGUCCGAGCGUUAAUCGGAAUUACUGGGCGUAAAGCGCACGCAGGCGGUUUGUUAAGCUAGAUGUGAAAGCCCUGGGCUCAACCUGGGAAUUGCAUUUAGAACUGGCAGGCUAGAGUUUUGGAGAGGGGAGUGGAAUUCCAGGUGUAGCG